UUGCUGCUGGCUGUCCUACAGAAGGGUGGGGAUGGAGGGUACUCCAGACUGGUCAGUGCACUCUGUCUCAGGGUGGCAGAGUCAAGGGGAGUACUCCUGACCAGACAGAGUACCACUCAGAGAUUGGAGCUGGCUCCCUCAGAAUUCACAGGCCCCGUAAAGGGUAAUAGGCUCUGGGUGGCAUGAAUGGUUCAACACUUGACUACUAGCCGAAAGGUCGGCAGUUCAAAUCCACUCAGAGGUGCCUGGAAAGACAGGCCUGGCGAUCUGCUUCUUAAGGGUCACAGACUUGGAAACUCUAUGGGGCAGUUCUACUCUUCAUAUGUGGGGUGGGCUUGCUGUGAAUUGGAAUUGACUGAAAGGCAACUAACAACAAGCUGAGAACUGGCCAAGCAGGGGUUAACUCUCCCAAACCCUGGGCUGAUUCCAGUGGGGUUCGAGUCCCCAGAUGGGACCAUGUGAGUGUUCUGGGGGGCUCCUAGGGACCCUCUGGGUGGCCCACAGGGGGCUUGAGCUGUUGGACUCCUAUGACCCCAGAUUCCGCCUUUGGGGGAGGGGCCUCCACCUCCUUCUUCCCCACAUGUGUCUCCUCCCCGGGCCCUGGGCCCCUUCCUUCCCCUCGCAUCUUCCUUCCCCUUAGCUUCCUGCUGAGGCAGCGUGGGGUGGUGGGGGGGCUGCAGCCCUGAGCCCUGGACUUCCUGUCUCCAUGCCUCCAGGGGGGAAACUGAGGCAGAGUCUUGGCCUGGCCAGAGAGUGGGCCCUGGGGUUCUUAGGUCUAGAAAUAGCUCCUUAUUCUCUGCAGGGGCUUCUUCAGGGGCCCAGGGUCCAGGGGCCAGUGGAACUGACUGUGGCUGCCCCUGGCUCAGGAAAUAUAUUCAAAUCCCUAUUUGAAUGUGGUUGGGGUGGGGGAGGUGGCAGACUGGCUCCUCUCUCUAGAUCCUUUUCUAGUUGCCCAUCAGCAGCCAGGGGGCUCAAUGGACAUGGUGGGAGUUGUUAGGUGAGGACAGAGGAUGGGGCAGGGCUGGUGGUGCCAGGCCCUAGACCUGGGGGUCUGAGGGAACACUGCCCUGCCCUGGGAGUCUGAGGGAACAUGGCCCUGCCCUGGGGGUCUGAGGGGACACAACCCUGCCCUGGGGGUCUGAGGGGACAUGGCUCUGGCCUGGGGGCCUAAGGGGACACGGUUCUGCCCUGGGGGUCUGAGGGGACACAGCCCUGCCCUAGGAGUCUGAGGGGAUAUGGUUCUGUCCUGGGAGUCUCGGGGGAUACACUUCUAUUCUGGGGGUCUAAGGGGGACACUCUCUGUCCUGGGAAUCUGAGGGAGCACCCUCUGUCCUGGGGGUCUGAGGAGACAUGGUUCUCUCCUGGGGGUGUGAGGGAGACACCACUCUGUUUUGGGGGCUUUAGGGGGACAUAGGUCUGUCCUAUAGGUCUGAAGGGAACACCAUUCUGCCCUGGAUGUCUAAGAAGACGUGGCCCUACCUCAGGGGUCUGAGGGCACACUCAGUGGCCCGCUGUCCAGCCCUCAGGCUCCCUCUCCAGGAAUGAUACCUUGCUUAGAGGAGGACCUGGGAGUUGGUGGGGAGCCUCAGGGGUUGGUGGGCAGGGGUGGCUGGGGCAGUGACCUCUCUGGCCCGAAUGCAAGGCGCCAUCUGCUCUGGGAGAAGGGGAAGUCGCUGCUGUGGGAGUGGGGCCUGCUGGGGGUCCUGGAGGGGGUUCCCAGAAAGUAAGGCUGUCUGUGGGGAAGAUGGGGGACCAUUUGUUCCUCCUCGUUUUCUUCACCCAGGGGCUUACUCCCUCCCCAGCCCGGGCAGGGUUUCCUGAAAGGAAGAGGGUAGCCCAGGCCUCCCCCUCCACCUAUCCCCGUCCAGCCAGCUGGCCACAAUCAGAUUUGCCUACAUUUGCUUGGCCUCCUUGUGGCUUGCAGGGCAUGAGGAAGUAGCCAUCGGACCUGCCAGGCCCCACACUUGGCAGGGGGCUGGGAGACAGGGAUCUGAGUCUCCUGCGAUGCUUUAGCAGCAGCCAUUAAAGGGAAAGUGGGUAGACUUAAGGGUGAACUUCCACCCCUGUGUGUCUUGCCUAAAGCCCAUUCUCUGAUGGAGGACAAGGGGAUGUGGAAUUCACUUCUAGGAAGACACCUGCACUCCACAGAUGGGUCCUGAUUCCUGUGCUGGGCAGCUCUGGGGACCUUGGCCCUCAAGGGUAGACAGAACCAGACACCCCCAACCCUGUGUAGUCAUGUCUGGGGCAGCAGGAAGAACUUCUGUGUUGGAGGCUCCAGUGUGAGGGCAGGGCGUUGCCUGGUGGAGUCCAGCAUUAGGCAAGAAGGGGCAUUAAUGCUGACUAUUAAAGAGUAGGAGCCAGCACAGGAACCAUGCUUUUGUCAGGGAGCUUUGCGUCUUCCUGCCUCUGUCCAUUUUAUCUCCUUCCGAGUUCAGCUGUGUGCUCUGUACACAGUAGGUAUGUGUGUGGAAAGCUCAAAGUUAGUCACAAUCAGCAGAAGAAUGACCUCUCUGGGUGUCUGUGUCCCCAGCAUUUAAGAAGGACCUUCAAUGGUCCUGCGGUGUGGAGCAGCAGAGAGAGGAAGAGGGGGUGCUCCUGAUGGGGAGAAAGGCACAAAUAAAAGCAGGGAUUUAGAAUGCUUCCCAGCGUCUCUCAUGUUCUCUUCAUAGACUUUCUCCUGCUUAGUUGCUUCCAAGGAAGAGUGUGGAAAGAGUAUUUUCAUCCAUCCGUUCAUCCACCCACCCACCCAUCCACCCAUCCACCCAUCCACCGAUCCACCCACCCACCCACCCACCCACCCAUCCAUCCAUCCAUCCAUCCAUCCAUCCAUCCAUCCAUCCAUCCAUCCAUCCAUCCAUAAUUCAGCCAUUCAUUCAUCCAACAAGUGUAAUGUAUGCCAGGCCCUGUUCUUGGUGCUGGGGGCAGUGGGAAUGAGACACACACAAAACCCUGUUGUUGAGGAGCCUGAAUUCUAGUGGAGGAGACUGACAGUGAGCAAAUAAAGAAAUGCCUAAAACGUUAGGAGAUGGUUUGUGCUCUGGAGAAAACAAAGCAGGAAAGGGGAGUUGGGACUGUAGGGGGCUGCACUUUUAAAUUUUGGGGGCCAGAGAGCUUCACUGAUAAGGUGACAUUUGAACAGAGGCCUGGGAAAAGUGAGGGGAUGAGUGGUGUGGGUCUGGGAAGGGGGAUUGCCAGUGCAAAGGCCCUGAGGUAGGUGCCUAUACGUUGAAGUGGCUGCAGGCAGUGACUGUCCUGGCUGGUGUGAAUAAUUCAUUGUGGGAGGUCAGAUUGGAGUGAGUCUUCAAGAUGGACAGUCCCUCUGGGAUCUGAGGCUCCGAGAGAGGAUGGCGAGGCCCCUGGCAGCCACAGGGAGCACCUAGAUUCUCCAACUCUCCUCUGGUUCAUCCUGGGAGCCCAAAUUCUGGGCUGUGGAGGAGAUGGAACUUAGGGCCAUGGGAGUGGAGGGGAAGGGAUGAACCUGAGUUAUUAUGGGGAAGACCUGCGAGGACGUGGGGGCUGAUUAGAUGUGGGGUGGGGACAUGCACUGAGGUCAAGACUAUGUCAUGGUUCCCAGCCCCACUGAGCAGAGUCAGGGAAGGGCAAGGGCAGUACAGACUAGAGGGGUAGGCUGGAGGGCAGUGGCUUGGAGGAGCGAGCCCCUUGCGUUGAGCUGAUUCUGACUCAUGGCGACCCCACGUGCUACAGAGUAGAACUGAUCCCUAGGGUUUUCUUAGCUGUUAUCUUUACAGAUGGAGCCCUGGUGGUGCAGUGGUUAAGCUCUUGGCUGCUAACUGGAAGGUUGGUGGUUCGAACCCACCAAUGGCACCUCGGGAGAAAGAUGUAGCAGUCCGCUUCCAUAAAGUUGACAGCCUUGAAACCCUAAGGGGCUGUUCUACUUUGUCCUAUAGGGUUACUAUGAGUCAGAAUUGACUUGACAGCAGCGAGUUUGGUUUUUUAAUCUUUACGGAAUAGUCAGGGCUUUCUUCCGUGGUGCUGUUGACUGGGUUCAAACUGCCAGCCUUUAAGUUAGUAACCAAGAACAAACCCUUUGGGCCACUCAGGGACUUUGAAGGACUUGGGUUCAUAUUCUGACACCACUAUUUCCUGGCUUCAUCUUUCUGAGCCUCAGUUUCCCUAUCUGUGAAACAUGGAUGGAAAAGGCACCCUCCUUGGAAAAUUGUUAUCUCAGUACUGCUCAGCAGCGUCUGGCACCUGAGAAGCCCUCACCAAAAAAUGUUCAGGAAAGAUGGGGGGUGGUGGGAUGGUGGGCAUCGCAGGUUGGUGUUUAGGCUGAGACAGGGGUUUCAACCUCUCCCCCUCACUCGCUCUACUCCAGCCACACUGGCUUCCUUGCUGUUCUUAGAAUCCACCAGGCACAGUCCGACCUUAGGGCCUUUGCAUGUGCUGUUUCUUCUCCAUGGAUGGCUCUUCCUUCCCAGAUGAGGAGCCCUGGUGGCGCAGUGAUUAAGAGCUCGGCUGUUAACUGAAAGGUCAACAGUUUCUCUACAUGGGAGAAAGAUGGGCCAGUCUACUUCUGUAAAGAUUACAGCCUCGGAAACCCUACAGGACAACCCUACAGUCCUAUAGGGUUGCUGGGGCUGUGCUACUGACAUCGAGCGGGUAGAGACCCGGGAAGCUGCUGAACAUGCUAUGAUUCACAGGACGGCUCCCACCACAGAGAAUGGUCCAUCCCUAAAUAUCAACAGUGCCAAGGUUGGGAAAUCCUGGGCUGGGAGUCAGAGAGCCUGGUAGAAUCUUUCAGGUAUUUAAUCAUCCGGUAAAUAAUAUGUUUGCAUGAUUCAAAUGUUAAAACUACAAAAGUGUUCAGGGAAAAUCUUAACCCUAUCCUGCCCCUUAGCUACCUAGUUUCCACCUAACCACACAGGUAACUCCUUUCUGAAAAAAAAAAAAAAAAAAAAUUUCCUGUAUAUCCUUCCGGUUUCUUUA